rnacentral:rRNA from 1 species
UAAGGUAGCGAAAUUCCUUGUCGGGUAAAUUCCGACCCGCACGAAAGGUGUAAUGAUCUGGGAACUGUCUCGGCCAUAGACUCGGUGAAAUCUUAAUACCUGUGAAAAUGCAGGUUACCCGCAACAGGACGGAAAGACCCCGUGGAGCUUUACUGUAGCUUGAUAUUGAGCUUCGGUAUGUUAUGUAGAGGAUAGGUGGGAGACGUUGAUACUAUGGCGCCAGCUAUAGAGUAGUCAUCCUUGGAAUACCACCCUUAACAUAUUGGAGUUCUAACCUAGACCCAUUAUCUGGGCCAGGGACAGUGUCUGGUGGGCAGUUUGACUGGGGCGGUCGCCUCCCAAAAAGUAACGGAGGCGCUCAAAGGUUCCCUCAGAAUGGUUGGAAAUCAUUCGAAGAGUGUAAUGGUAUAAGGGAGCUUAACUGCGAGACCAACAAGUCGAGCAGGUGCGAAAGCAGGACAUAGUGAUCAGGCGAUUCAGUAUGGAAUGGUCGUCGCUUAACGGAUAAAAGUUACCCCGGGGAUAACAGGCUGAUACCACCCAAUAGUUCAUAUAGACGGUGGUGUUUGGCACCUCGAUGUCGGCUCGUCACAUCCUGGAGGUGGAUUCGCUUCCAAGGGUUGGGCUGUUCGCCCAUUAAAGUGGCACGCGAGCUGGGUUCAGAACGUCGUGAGACAGUUCGGUCCCUAUCCGUUGUGGGCGUUGGAAAAUUGAGAAGAUCUGUCCUUAGUACGAGAGGACCGGGAUGGACUUACCUCUGGUGUAUCUGUUGUAGCGCCAGCUGCAGUGCAGAGUAGCUAUGUAGGGAAUGGAUAACCGCUGAAAGCAUCUAAGUGGGAAGCCAACUUCAAGAUGAAUUUUCCUGUUUUUUAAAAACUAAGAUCCCAGAAAGACUAUCUGGUUGAUAGGCUAGACGUGGAAGCAUAGUGAUAUGUUGAGCUGACUAGUACUAAUAGAUCGAGAGUUUAACCCU